AGCGAACGCUGGCGGCAGGCUUAACACAUGCAAGUCGAACGGCCGUAGCAAUACGGCAGUGGCAGACGGGUGAGUAACACGUGGGAAUGUACCCUUUGGUUCGGAACAACUCCGGGAAACUGGAGCUAAUACCGGAUAAGCCCUUACGGGGAAAGAUUUAUCGCCGAAGGAUCAGCCCGCGUCGGAUUAGCUAGUUGGUGGGGUAAUGGCUCACCAAGGCGACGAUCCGUAGCUGGUCUGAGAGGAUGAUCAGCCACACUGGGACUGAGACACGGCCCAGACUCCUACGGGAGGCUG
rnacentral:rRNA from 1 species